UACGUAGGGGGCUAGCGUUGUCCGGAAUCAUUGGGCGUAAAGAGCGUGUAGGCGGCCCGGUAAGUCCGCUGUAAAAGUCAAAGGCUCAACCUUUGAAUGUCAGUGGAUACUGCCGGGCUAGAGUCCGGAAGAGGCGAGUGGAACUCCUGGUGUAGCGGUGGAAUGCGCAGAUAUCAGGAGGAACACCAAUGGCGAAGGCAGCUCUCUGGUACAUGAUUGACGCUGAGACGCGAAAGCGUGGGGAGCGAACAGG
rnacentral:rRNA from 1 species